AUUGAAACACCGGUUCUCAUACGAUCACAGAAGGUAAGCAAUAUAGAUCCUGGUCUGUACCUAGAUGGGUGACUGUUUGAAAUACCAGGUGCUGUAAG
rnacentral:rRNA from 1 species